UACAGAGGUCCCGAGCGUUGUUCGGAUUCACUGGGCGUAAAGGGUGCGUAGGCGGGUCUUUAAGUCAGGGGUGAAAUCCUGUGGCUCAACUGCAGGGCUGCCUCCUAGACUGUCGGGCUUGAGCACGGUAGAGGCAGAUGGAAUUCCCGGUGUAGCGGUGGAAUGCGUAGAGAUCGGGAAGAACAUCGGUGGCGAAGGCGGUCUGCUGGGCCGUUGCUGACGCUGAGGCGCGACAGCGUGGGGAGCAAACAGG
rnacentral:rRNA from 1 species